CAUGCGCAGAAACGACAUUACUUUCCAGUCCCCCUAAUAUAUAAAAGAAAGUAAACAUACCACCGUAGCCACCACCAUCCUGAUUUUCUCCUCUUGCUUCAGCUGCAAGUGAAAGUUCAACACCUCGCUGAAUUUCCGGUGGAAUAGGAGGAGGUGUUGGAAGAUGGGCACCCUGUGGAUGGAAGCCUUCUUCGUCGGCAGUGUAAGUGAUCGAAUAUUGGACACCAUCAGGCCCAGUGUAAGAAAACGAGCCACUUACUGCUUCAGAUUCUCCUAAAAAUGAAAAAGAAUUGAAUAAUGUCAUAAUUGCUGACUAUCUUUCACCGUUCACGGUUAUUUACUAAUCGAAACGAAACAAUGAUGUUCGAGGCCAAUGUCAAAGAUAUAACGCAACACUUUAAAAACAACAGUACGAGGAAAGGAAAGACAAGGAUUGAAAUUGAGAAAUGAAGAAUGUAUAUGUAUGUUAAAACUACCUGGUCUACCAGGACUACCAGGACUACCACCGCCCCUGUUUGGCGCCUUGAUAAAUCCUGCUCCACCUGCAGUUCCUGCGCUACCGGGCGGAAGAUACGUGUUCUCCAAACGUGCUGCGUAACACACACUUGCUAAGGCAAGCAACGUCACGACGAGCUGCUGAAAAGCCAAGUUUUCU